rnacentral:misc_RNA from 1 species
GAUGAGGAACGUAGCGAAAUGCGAUAAGUAGUGUGAAUUGCAGAAUUCAGUGAAUCAUCGAAUCUUUGAACGCACAUUGCGCCCCUUGGUAUUCCAUGGGGCAUGCCUGUUCGAGCGUCAUUUGUACCUUCAAGCUUUGCUUGGUGUUGGGUGUUUGUCUCGCCUUUGCGUGUAGACUCGCCUUAAAAUAAUUGGCAGCCGGCGUAUUGAUUUCGGAGCGCAGUACAUCUCGCGCUUUGCACUCAUAACGACAGCGUCCAAAAGUACAUUUUACACUCUUGACCUCGGAUCAGGUAGGGAUACCCGCUGAACUUAAGCAUAUCAAUAAGCGGAGGA